GAUGAACGCUGGCGGCGUGCCUAAUACAUGCAAGUCGAGCGAACAGAUGAGGAGCUUGCUCCUCUGACGUUAGCGGCGGACGGGUGAGUAACACGUGGAUAACCUACCUAUAAGACUGGGAUAACUUCGGGAAACCGGAGCUAAUACCGGAUAAUAUAUUGAACCGCAUGGUUCAAUAGUGAAAGACGGUUUUGCUGUCACUUGUAGAUGGAUCCGCGCCGCAUUAGCUAGUUGGUAAGGUAAAGGCUUACCAAGGCAACGAUGCGUAGCCGACCUGAGAGGGUGAACGGCCAAACCGGAACUGAGACACGGGCCAGACUCCUAAGGGAGGCAGCAGUAGGGAAUCUUCCGCAAUGGGCGAAAGCCUGACGGAGCAACGCCGCGUGAGUGAUGAAGGUCUUCGGAUCGUAAAACUCUGUUAAUAGGGAAGAACAAAUGUGUAAGUAACUAUGCACGUCUUGACGGUACCUAAUCAGAAAGCCACGGCUAACUACGUG
rnacentral:rRNA from 1 species